CACGGACCGCACGAACGUUAUUCGGAAUCACUGGGCUUAAAGGGUGCGUAGGCGGCUUUGCAAGUUGGGUGUGAAAGCCCUCGGCUCAACCGAGGAAUUGCGCUCAAUACUGCCGAGCUCGAGAGAGACAGAGGUAAGCGGAACUAAUGGUGGAGCGGUGAAAUGCGUUGAUAUCAUUAGGAACACCGGUGGCGAAGGCGGCUUACUGGGUCUUUUCUGACGCUGAGGCACGAAAGCCAGGGGAGCGAACGGG
rnacentral:rRNA from 1 species